AUACAGUUACUCUGGACUUUUCAUCUUAACUCCUCAAACUCAACAGCCAGGAGGUUCAUCCCCCAUCACCCACAGGGUGAGAAAAUUUGGGCCCUUCUCUGAGAUCAAGGAACUGGGUGUGCAGAAGAGGAAAGGCCACAUGAGAACACGGCAAGAAGGCAGCCAUCUACAAGCCAGGAAGAGCAUUCUCACCAGAAACCAACCAUGCCAGCACCUUGAUCUUGAACUCCCCGCCUCCAGAACUCAAACAGUUUUGCCUCACAGCUACUCAAGAACAGAAGUUUCCUGCUACAUGCUUAAGAAGAUCUUUCACUGUCCAUUAAUUUUGCUAUAAAAUAUUUACAAUAAAUAAAACAAAU